GAGCGCCGUAGCAAUACGGAGCGGCAGACGGGAGAGUAACACGUGGGAACGUGCCCUCUGGUCCGGAACAACCCAGGGAAACUUGGGCUAAUACCGGAUAAGUCCGUAAGGAGAAAGAUUUAUCGCCAAAGGAUCGGCCCGCGUCUGAUUAGCUAGCUGGUGAGGUAACGGCUCACCAAGGCGACGAUCAGUAGCUGGUCUGAGAGGAUGAUCAGCCUCACUGGGACCGAGACACGGCCCAGACUCCUACGGGAGGCAGCAGUGGGGAAUAUUGGACAAUGGGCGCAAGCCUGAUCCAGCCAUGCCGCGUGGAUGAUGAAGGCCCUAGGGUUGUAAAGUCCUUUCGGCGGGGAAGAUAAUGACGGUACCCGCAGAAGAAGCCCCGGCUAACUUCGUGCCAGCAGCCGCGGUAAUACGAAGGGGGCUAGCGUUGCUCGGAAUCACUGGGCGUAAAGCGCACGUAGGCGGCUUUUUAAGUCAGGGGUGAAAUCCUGGAGCUCAACUCCAGAACUGCCUUUGAUACUGAGAGGCUUGAGUCCGGGAGAGGUGAGUGGAACUGCGAGUGUAGAGGUGAAAUUCGUAGAUAUUCGCAAGAACACCAGUGGCGAAGGCGGCUCACUGGCCCGGUACUGACGCUGAGGUGCGAAAGCGUGGGGA
rnacentral:rRNA from 1 species